UCAGUCUAUACAAUGCACAGUUCAUGAUGUUAACACUUCAAGUUUACCUCAUUCACUUUCACAACUAAUUUGGAUUUUAGUUUGCUGUUUAGUCCUCAUUUACUUUAUUUUGUGCCUUUCUCUGUACUUCUGUUCUUCUCUCCUGACCUUCCUGUGGAGGUCAAGUUGUUCUUUUGUCUGGCCUGUAUGGGAGAGUAAUGCUGCAGACAGUUGCUCAGUGCAGGAGAGGAGGGGGUGGGUGUCCUCUUCUUUGUGGUGUCCAAGUGGAUUUGGGAAUCAAAGGGGGUUCCUGGGAUUUAGACGCAGUUGAGUCACAGCGGCUCCCACUUUCAGGCAUGGCAGCUACACCAGAAACACUGUUGCUCACAUACUCACAUGCCAGCCUUUGCAUGUGGCCAGCUUGUUAGGUUGGAAAGUGGUAUUUCUAGACACCAGGGUACACCCCCAUGCCAAGAGAAAGGCCUGUGGUGUGCAGUGCUCUUGGGUUAGUCUAGUGUCCUGCUAGGGAAAAACUGACUUGCAUUUGUGAUUACCCCCUCCUGUUUUGUAAAGUUGGGAGUCUUGCAUUAGAAUUUUGUAUUUUGGGAUGCACACUAAAAUUAAUCCUGUGUCUUUAAAUUCC
rnacentral:lncRNA from 1 species